rnacentral:rRNA from 1 species
GAUGAACGCUGGCGGCGCACAUAAGACAUGCAAGUCGAACGGACUUAACUUCAUUCUUUACGAUUGAAGAGCGGUUAGUGGCGGACUGGUGAGUAACACGUAAGCAACCUGCCUAUCAGAGGGGAAUAACAGUGAGAAAUCAUUGCUAAUACCGCAUAAGCUGAUAAUAUCGCAUGAUAUAGUCAGAAAAGGAGCAAUCCGCUGAUAGAUGGGCUUGCGUCUGAUUAGCUAGUUGGUGGGGUAACGGCCUACCAAGGCGACGAUCAGUAGCCGAGCUGAGAGGGUGAACGGCCACAUUGGGACUGAGACACGGCCCAAACGUCCUACGGGAGGCAGCAGUGGGGAAUAUUGCACAAUGGGGGGAAACCCUGAUGCAGCGACGCCGCGUGAGUGAAGAAGUAUUUCGGUACGUAAAGCUCUAUCAGCAGGGAAGAAAAUGACGGUACCUGACCAAGAAGCCCCGGCUAACUACGUGCCAG